AGUGAACGCUGGCGGCAGGCCUAACACAUGCAAGUCGAGCGGCAGCGGGUUCCCGCGAGGGGAUGCCGGCGAGCGGCGGACGGGUGAGGAACACAUCGGAAUCUGCCUGGUUGUGGGGGAUAACGUAGGGAAACUUACGCUAAUACCGCACGCGACCCUGAGUCGACGGACUGGGGGUGAAAGUGAGGGACCUUCGGCCUCACGCGACCAGAUGAGCCGAUGUCGGA
rnacentral:rRNA from 1 species